CGAAAGCCUGACGGAGCAACGCCGCGUGAGGGAUGGAGGCCUUUGGGCUGUAAACCUCUUUUCUCAAGGAAGAAGAUCUGACGGUACUUGAGGAAUAAGCCACGGCUAAUUCCGUGCCAGCAGCCGCGGUAAUACGGGAGUGGCAAGCGUUAUCCGGAAUUAUUGGGCGUAAAGCGUCCGCAGGCGGCCGUUUAAGUCUGUUGUUAAAUCGUGGAGCUCAACUCCAUCACGGCAAUGGAAACUGUUCGGCUUGAGUAUGGUAGGGGCAGAGGGAAUUUCCGGUGUAGCGGUGAAAUGCGUAGAUAUCGGGAAGAACACCAGUGGCGAAAGCGCUCUGCUGGGCCAUUACUGACGCUCAUGGACGAGAGCCAGGGGAGCGAAAGGGAUUAGAUACCCCUGUAGUCCUGGCCGUAAACGAUGAACACUAGAUGUUGGGGGAAUCGACCCCCUCGGUGUCGUAGCUAACGCGUUAAGUGUUCCGCCUGGGGAGUACGCACGCAAGUGUGAAACUCAAAGGAAUUGGCGGGGGCCCGCACAAGCGGUGGAGUAUGUGGUUUGAUUCGAUGCAACGCGAAGAACCUUACCAAGGCUUGACAUCCUGCGAAUCUCUAAGAAAUUAGAGAGUGCCUUCGGGAACGCAGUGACAGGUGGUGCAUGGCUGUCGUCAGCUCGUGUCGUGAGAUGUUGGGUUAAGUCCCGCAACGAGCGCAACCCACGUUUUUAGUUGCCAGCAUUCAGUUGGGCACUCUAGAAAGACUGCCGGUGACAAACCGGAGGAAGGUGUGGACGACGUCAAGUCAUCAUGCCCCUUACGCCUUGGGCUACACACGUACUACAAUGCUGCGGACAAAGAGUAGCGAUCUUGCGAAAGUUAGCUAAUCUCAUAAACCGUGGCUCAGUUCAGAUCGUAGGCUGCAACUCGCUACGUGAAGGAGGAAUCGCUAGUAAUCGCAGGUCAGCAUACUGCGGUGAAUACGUUCCCGGGCCUUGUACACACCGCCCGUCACACCAUGGAAGUUGGCCAUGCCCGAAGUCGUUACUCUAACCUUUUGGAAGAGGGCGCCGAAGGCAGGGCUAAUGACUGGGGUGAAGUCGUAACAAGGUAGCCGUAGCGGAAGCUGCGGCUGGAUCACCUCCUAA
rnacentral:rRNA from 1 species